UUCUUACAGCACAGAUAUGGCAACCUUGUCCUGUUUGAUAGUUUUUAAACUAUGCUUACAUUUUUUAGGAACCUAAGCACAAUCUUACUCUUAGUAACACAGCACAAAAUGAAUAUUAUGGAAAAGCAGAUGUAAUUUAUCUUAUAUUUUUCAGUCACCAUUAUAUUUUUAUUUGCAGGACUAGGAGAAACUGUUGAAGAAUUUUCUGUCUAAGAUGCCAAAAUAAACUAUCUGGCCAUGAACUUUAUGCACCAUAAAUUGGGCAAAUGGGAGGAAACACAAUUUACUGUUCUAUUGCAGGUUCUUCUAAUUUUCCUUCAACUGGAGAGUAAUCAUGAAAAUGGUACCUCCUAGAAAAAUAGUGUAGAAAAAGUGAUGGUGCCACACACAUCACCGCCCUGCUUCCUACUGCCUGCCUCCCAUCUUGCCCCUGACAAUGAUAACUUCCACCAUGUGCCAGACUGGACAGCCCACAGACUGGAUGUGGUCCCAGGAUUGCAAAAUACCCAUAUCUGCAAUAAAGAAUUCUAUUUGGCCAAUCUCAAGAAAUCAGAAUAAGAGAAGAUUCUGAAAAAGAAAGCGUUCAAAAGAAGAAGCUCAUGAUGAAAAGGACUGAAGAUCUGAAGUUCACAGAACAUGAGCAAGAAUCAUACAUGUUUGAAAUAUGGUAACUCAGUCAUCUGAGGUUUUAUUUCACAAUAAGAUUUCGGGGCUGCCCGUCUACUGGCCUUAGCUGAGAUCUAACAGCCAGCUUUAACAGGCUGCUAUGAAACACUGGAUGGACUUUUUCUAACAAAUGUUGGAAUCUAAGCUGAACAAACAGACAAAGGGCAGCUACUCAAUCCCAGGAAUGGCAGCAACAGAAGGGAAUAUUCAUUUGUUUUUGUAAUCUUGAUUUCUACUUCUAGAUGAUUGUCUCAACUCUGUUAAAAUAGGCUUAAUAAAAUGCUUCUCAACAAGAAAAAAAAACAAGGAUUAGACAAAGCAAGCUCUACAGCACCACCAUUUUAGUGAAGGGGAAAAAAUCACGAUAUGUCACGUGAUGACAACGUGAUUCCACGAGUUUGUUAUCCUUGCUCUACAGAGAUUCUUUGGCAAACAAGAAAGACAAAAUGUCACACGUUGAUUUUUUAAAAAGCAUGCUGAAUCAUGACUUUAAUAGUAACUGAUGCCAUCUAAUUAUAUUAUAGUAUAAUAUAAUUCCACCAUUUCAAUAGCAUUCUUUUUCUGAAUGCUUUACCAAUACAUUAUUGCUCCUAAUAAAAAUAUUGAACAUAUUUUACUCCAACUUAGCAAAUUGCCACACAUGCUAAAUAUUGCAUUUGUUCAGUGAUUUUCCCCUGUAAAUUGUAUAAAUUGUUGGGUUAAUUUUAAAUUGAGACAAGGAAAAAACAUACUAUGUACAGAAUGAAAAAAUGUGACCAAUUUUCAUUUUAAAAUAUGACCACAGAAUAUCCACAGCUUUCUGUGCAAAAUUAAGACAGCAGCCCAUUUAAUUCAGUUUCAGAACAUAAUAUAGAAAACAGUUUUUAAGUAAAUAUAAAAAAAAAUAUUUAGGGGAAAACAGACGUACUUGUUCUUUCUUGACUUAAUAAAAAUAAAAACAAAAUGAUGACUCUUUUAACAGUGUGUCAUUAUUCUCUUGGUGAGUUGCCAAUAGCAUCAUUGCAGGUGAAACUCAAAAAAUUAGAAAAUCUUGCAAAAGUUCAUUUAUUUAAGUAAUGCAACUUAAA